rnacentral:tRNA from 1 species
CCUGAAAAAGCGAAAAUUAUCGCACUAAGUUUCGGCCUUAGCUUUGGUACUCACCUUUCAGGU